AUUGAACGCUGGCGGCAUGCUUUACACAUGCAAGUCGAACGGUAACAGGCCUUCGGGUGCUGACGAGUGGCGAACGGGUGAGUAAUGCAUCGGAACGUACCCAGAGGUGGGGGAUAACGCAGCGAAAGCUGUGCUAAUACCGCAUGUGAUCUGAGGAUGAAAGCGGGGGACCGAGCAGCAAUGUUUGGCCUCGCGCCUUUGGAGCGGCCGAUGUCGGAUUAGCUAGUUGGUGGGGUAAAGGCCUACCAAGGCGACGAUCCGUAGCUGGUCUGAGAGGACGACCAGCCACACUGGGACUGAGACACGGCCCAGACUCCUACGGGAGGCAGCAGUGGGGAAUUUUGGACAAUGGGCGCAAGCCUGAUCCAGCAAUGCCGCGUGCGGGAAGAAGGCCUUCGGGUUGUAAACCGCUUUUGGCAGGAACGAAACGGUGUCCGCUAAUACCGGGCGCUAAUGACGGUACCUGCAGAAUGAGCACCGGCUAACUACGUG
rnacentral:rRNA from 1 species